AGCAGCCGCGGUAAUUCCAGCUCCAAUAGCGUAUAUUAAAGUUGCUGCAGUUAAAAAGCUCGUAGUUGAAUUUCGGGACCAUCACGUCGGUCGUGCCUCGGUACGUACUGGCGUCGUUGGUUUCUCCCUUCUGACGAACCAUGAUGUCAUUUAUUUGGUGUCGUGGGGAAUCAGGACUGUUACUUUGAAAAAAUUAGAGUGUUUAAAGCAGGCUCACGCUUGAAUACAUUAGCAUGGAAUAAUGAAAUAGGACGUUUGAUUCUAUUUUGUUGGUUUCUAGGAUCGACGUAAUGAUUAAUAGGGAUAGUUGGGGGCAUUAGUAUUCAAUUGUCAGAGGUGAAAUUCUUGGAUUUAUUGAAGACUAACUACUGCGAAAAGCAUUUGCCAAGGAUGUUUUCAUUAAUCAAGAACGAAAGUUAGGGAUCGAAGACGAUCAGAUACCGUCGUAGUCUUAACCAUAAACUAUGACCGACUAGGGAUCGGAUGAUGUUAAUUUUUAUGUACUCAUUCGGCNCCGUUA
rnacentral:rRNA from 1 species